rnacentral:rRNA from 1 species
UACAGAGGGGGCAAGCGUUAUUCGGAAUUAUUGGGCGUAAAGGGCGCGUAGGCGGCUUGGCAAGUGGAUGGUGAAAUCCCUCGGCUUAACCGAGGAACUGCCGUCCAAACUGCUUAGCUUGAGACCGGGAGAGGUGAGUGGAAUUCCCAGUGUAGCGGUGAAAUGCGUAGAUAUUGGGAGGAACACCAGUGGCGAAGGCGGCUCACUGGACCGGUACUGACGCUGAGGCGCGAAAGCGUGGGGGAGCAAACGGG